AGUUUACACAGGAACAGCGGUCGUGCGAGAUGUGGUCGUGAAUGGUCUCUCCUCUCCCUCCCUCCCGCCUUCCCCGGUAUGCAUGGUCUCUCCGUAUGAAUGUCUCGCUGCUCCUGUGCUUUCCCAUUACACACUGAUCUUAUUUGAUCUCCCCUGCGUGUCGCAGCCUACACCAGGGGCGAGAUGAUGAAACCACUCUGGCUAAGCCCCCAGUGGGUUGUGUGCGCUGAGCUUAGGUCUGUAGGCUGCUGCACCCGACAUGAUGAAUUGAUCAGAUAUACUAGACCGGGAGGCUCUCACGGGGACCUCUUCUGUCUGUGAGUAUAAAGGCGAUUCUGAUCGGA